GGGCUGGGGCUCAGUGGUAGAGUGCUUGCCUGGCAUGUAUGAGGCACUGGGUUCAAUCCCCAGCACCACA
rnacentral:tRNA from 1 species